rnacentral:lncRNA from 1 species
AGGAAGCAGCGAUCAACCGUCCACUCUCGAGAUUCAUAUUGAUCAAUAGAUCUCCACUUCCUGCCAGUUCGCUAAGUAGACUCACUCUACUGCAGGGCAACAAAGGCUGGAUAGGAGUUUUAGUGCAUUGGGUUGCUAAGUUGCUCGGACUCUCCAAAAAUGUUGCCGCACCCGAGUCGGAUCCUUCAGAAAUACACUAUUUUUGAAGGAUCUGACACGCACUCGUAGACAUUUUUGAAGAGUCCGAGCAACUUAGUUGGGCUGCCCCUUUUGACUCGGUGAUUUUGGCCUUUACUGGGAAAACAUGGUGGAAUCCCACUUAAGUGAAAGUUACUCUUUCUUGCUGUUACAAUGUUAAUGAAACUCUCUACCGGAGAAAGUGAAGAAUAAGCUACAUUUUUUAGCGUAUAUUUUAGAGAAACUACUUAAUCUUGAGCUAAUCCAUAUACAACAACAACAUAUCUAGUGAAAUUCCUACAGGUGGGGUCUGGGGAGGGUGGAGUGUAUGCAAACCUUAGUUCUACCUCGCGGAGGGAGGUAGCAAGGCUGUUUCUGGAAGACCCUCGGCUCAAGGAACAUAUGUUAAAACAGAUUUAGAAAGAAGUAAAGAGAUAAAGAGUAGAAGAUGGAAAAAAAAUCGUAUGUUAUUGAUAGAAUGCCUAGUGUUUUCAGUAUCUGUACAAGACUAUAUAUAAGACCUAUAUCAACAAGGAUAGACUAAAAGUUACAACAACUAUAAGAACUCUACAACAAUCAGGUGUCUAGUAAUUAUCCGUUAUUACGCCCCCGCAAGUUGGUGGUGUCAACUACACCCAACUUGGAAAAAUGCUUGAUAAAAGAGACUCUUGGAAGUGGUUUGGUCAGUAUAUCUACCACUUGAUCAGCCGAGUGAAGGUGUUGAACUGCGAUAUCCUUGUUUUGAACUUGUUCACGAACAAAAUGAAAAUUAAUAGCAAUAUGCUUCAUCCGACUAUGGAACACUGGGUUGGCACAAAUGUAAGUGGUGCUAACAUUGUCACAAAAUAUCCGAGGAAUGUCUGAGAGACGAAACCAAAGCUCAUGGAGUAAAACUUUUUAGCCAAUUGGUCUCAGAAAUAGUAGCAGUGACAGCUCGAUAUUCUGCUUCUGUGGAGGAACGGGAGACAGAUCUUUGCUUUUAAGAAGACCAUGAUAUCGAAGAGCUGCCAAGGUAAACAACAUAACCUGUGGUGGAGGUUCGAUCAAGAGGAUCUCCAGCCCAGUCAGAAUUUGAGUAAGCUGGAAGACGGUGAUCAUGUUCUUUGGCAAUCCGGAGGCCAAAUGAGGAUGUUUGGUGUAAAUACCGAAGGAGACGUUUCAUGGCUGUUCAAUGAGAUGUGCAUAGACUGUGAGAGUUUGCUGACAGCAAAUGCUAUGUCCGGACGUGUAAAAGAAAGGUAAUGAAGUUUACCGAUGAUUCGCCUAUAAAGAGAGCCAUCAACUAGAGAAUCUUCCACGGACUCUGGGAAAGUUACAGUUGAAGCCAUUGGUGUUGGAACACCUUUGCAAUUUUGCAUAUUAACUUCCUGCAAGAGAUCUGUAAUGUACUUCUGUUGAGACAACAAAAGACCACCAGGAUAAGACAACACUUCAACACCAAGGAAAUAAUUAAGUGGACAAAGAUCCUUCAGAGAGAAUCGGGUUGCAAGAUUAUCAAUAAUACUUUGAACACCACAAAUCUGAUUACCAGUAACAAUUAUGUCAUCAACAUAUACUAGGACAUAAACAAUAAACUCAAAAUUCUGCAGGAUGAACAAUGAAGAAUCAGUUUGGGACUUAAUAAACCCCAAACAUGCUUCGGAUGUGCAGAAGAUUCGAAACCAGGUGGUUGGCGCAUAUAGACUUCCUCAUCAAGACGACCUUACAGGAAGGCAUUAUUGAUAUCAAGUUGACGAAUGGGCCAGCUUUGUUGUGUUGCAAUUGCAAGAACUAUUCGAACAGUUGUUGGCUUUACCACAGGACUGAAAGUGCAUUGGAAGUCAAGGCCAGGUCGUUGUGUGAAUCCUUUGGCAACCAAGCGAGCUUUGAACCUGUCAACAGAACCAUCAGGAUGAUAUUUAACCCGAAAAAGCCACCUACAAUCCACCACUUUUUUCGAAGGAUCACAUGGUACCAACUCCCAUGUACGGUUCCGAACUAAGGCAUCAAAUUCAUCUUUGAUAGCAUCAUGCCAAUGUGGGACUUAUCAAGCUUGCUUAAAGGUUCUAGGUAGGGAGGAACUGGUUUGAACAACAGUGUGGAAUUGCUUAGGCUUAAGGCUAUUAGUCUUAGAUCGAGUAAUCAUAUUAUGAGUGGGCGUUGAUGUAGAGCUAGGGUCAACAAAAGAAGGUUGUGGGGCCAUGGGAGAUGAGAUAGGUGACUAGGAAGAGGGUUGUACCACAGGGUUUUGGAUCAAAGGACCAGUAGACUUAUUUCAACGCUAGUAAGUGAUUAUUGUGGAUUGCGGCUGCGUAUUUAAAUGGGGAGAAGAAUGAACUAGUGAGGACGAAACAUUUGGUUCAGGUGAAUGCGGCUUGAAACUGAAUUUUGUAUGGUGAGGGAAGGGGGGAGUGGAGAUGUUGGAGAAGAAGUAGCAGAUAAGGGAGAAAUUGAAUUACCUGAGACGGUGGUUCUGUUGGGGUAGAGAAGAUAGGUGAGUGCGUGUCCACAGGCUGCUGCACAAUGUGAGUGGGAAGCUCAUAAGAAUCAUGUGAAUAUCGAGUAUUAUCCUGCGGCUGCUGUUUAGUUGAACAAAUCUCCCAAGACACAUUUUUAUUUUGUGUGUUUGUCAAAUAAGAAAAAAUAUUUUCGAAUGGAAACUGGUUUUCUAAAAAUAAAACGUCAAGAGAUAAAUAUAUUUUGAAAGUUAAAGGAUCAAAACAUUGGUGGCAGUAAUGUUUAUUCGAAAAUCCCAAAUAAACACAUGGUGUCGAACGAGGCUCGAGUUUGUUUUUGGCAUAUGGUUUGAGCCAUGUAUAACACAAGCAACCAAAUACUUUAACGGAGUCAUACUUGGGCAUAGUUUGAAAUAAAAUUUCAAAGAGGCUCUUAUGCUGAAGAUUCAGUGUAGUUAGCCUAUUUAUAAGAUAAAUAGCUUGUUGACAGGCAAAACUCCAAAAAAGUGUGAGGGUAAAGAUGCUUGGUGCAACAAGGUUCUAGCAGUUUCACUAACAUGCCGGUGUCGUCUUUCGACUAGAGCAACUCUUUGUGGAGUAUAUGGGGGUGACACUAAGUGCUCUAUGCCAUGUGCUUUGAGAUACGACUGUAGACUCUGAAAUUCGCCACCACCAUCAGUGUAAAAAGAUUGAAUUUUGGUGUUGAAUUUGCAUUCAAGCAAUGGAUGCAAAUUUUGGAAAACUUCCAAAGUUUCAUUUUUUUAUUUUAAAGUGAACAACCACAUGUAUUUUGAAAAUUGAUCAACAAAUAACACAUAAUAUCUUUUCUUAUCAAUUGACAACACUGGAGAUGGACCCCAUAAAUCGCUAUAAAGGAUUUGCAAGGGCUUAUUGCUUCGCAAUGAAUUUUCUGAAAUAGCCAACUUGUGCAUUUUAUUUGAAUAACAAGAAUUACAAAUGGAGCUAGUUUUAUUUUGCCCAUCUUUAUUCUGCCCCCGAACUAGAGACGCCCCCGUCCUCAAAUCCUUCACAAGAUAAUGGAAAGGAAAAAAUUCAAUAGAGGAAUGAUUAUCACGACAAAACUUAGAAACAGAAAUAAGAUUAUUUUUAAUGACAGGGGAGCAUAAGGAAUUGAGAAGUUUGAAAUGAUGAUUUGAUGCACUUAUGUUAGCGUUACCAUUAUGGGAUAUUGGAAUGGUGUUACCAUUGCCCAUAGUUAUCUCUUCGGUGCCGUGGUAGUCAUGUACAGUGGCUCGGCUUUGAGUAUCAGAUGCAAUAUGAUGAGUGGCUCCACUGUCGAUGAUCCAAGGGGACUGUUGACAAGGAAAACGAGCAGCAAAGUUUGCCCGGGCUUGCAGAUGGUUAUGUGACUGCGAUCUGCAGACUUUAGCAGAAUGACCUACGCGAUCACAUAGUUGGCAGCGAAGGUUUUUGUCAGAGGGUUGCUGCUGCUGGUUGUUUCUUCGUCAGCGUUGUGCUUGCCAUUGCUGAUUGUUGGCAGGAGGGUUCACACCUGGACAACGAUUGCUGGAGUAAUUAUUGUUGCUCUGGCGAGAAGGAGUUAAGCUAGUCUUUUGUGCUAUAGCAGCAAUAAUGGGAGUUGAUAGCGGCUUCUUGUCUUUCUCAUGUUUGAGGAAAAGCUCAUUUAAUCUAGAAGCUUUUCGUAAAGCUCUUCAUAUGAAAUAGGAGAAUCGCGAGCACGAAUGGCAACAGAGAGUUCUCGAAAUUCAGAUCCGUGUCCACUAAGGAUUUUCACAAUGAGUUUCGGGUUUGAUACCGGUGCACCAGCAGUUGCAAGUUCAUCACAAAGUGAUCGAACUUGAUGAAGAUAAUCUGUGACUGGAAAACAAUCUUUAGUGAGGCGGGCCAAUCGAUCUCGCAAGCUGAAAAUUCUUGUUUGAGAUUUGUUUGCAUAUGCAAUAUGCAAAGCAUCCCAGGCAGCUUUGGCGGAGACUGCAACAGCAACAGUGGGGGCAAGCGUAGGAUCAACAGAGGCCAAGAUAGCAUUUUGAAUUGGCUGAUCUUGGCGAUACCAAGAAAGGAACUUAGGGUUAUCAACGUCUUGAUUGUUCUGAGAGAUGGUGCAAGUAAGUGCAGGGAUGGAGCCAUCGAGAUGCCUAUAAAGAUUGUGACCACCCAUAAGCAUUGAAACUUGAGCUUUCCACAAGGAGAAAUUGUGACUGCCCGUUAAUUUAAUGGGCAGUUGGGUAACUGGAUUGAAUUGAACAAUUGUGAUGGCAUUGUUGAUUCCAUCGGCAUUGGUCACAGAAAUCUCAGAGGCCAUUUGUGUGAGCAAGCAGAGAAGAAAGAAAAAAAAAGGAGAGGAUCAACUCGUAGGAGUUUAGAUAGGCUUUGAUACCAUAAAGAGAUGGAGAGUAGAAGAUGGGAAAAAAAUUGUAUGUUAUUAAUAGAAUGACUACUGUUUUCAGUAUCUGUACAAGACUAUAUAUAAGACCUAUAUCAACAAGGAUAGACUAAAAGUUACAACAACUAUAAGAACUCUACAACAAUUAGGUGUCUAGUAAUUAUCCAUUAUUAAGAAGAAGAAGAAAAGUCUUGAUCUAUCACUUGUUAUUUUAAAAAAGUAUCGAUGGUUUUCAUUGUGUUCAAACUUCAAAGCAUAUGAAGAAGUGUAGUAAAGCUAAUUUGCAAGGCAAAAAUGCUUCGAUGCUUCGAUAUCACUGGAGAAUUUACAACAGAUUGAUUGUAGUUGUUGUUGAAGUGAUUAAUUUCUAAAAGAAAUAUCACUACUGUUAGGUGAUAUAAGUAUGCAAAUGAUUUUAAAUAUAGCUAGUGAAGAUUCAUAUUGCUGUAGUAUUGGCCUCACUGCCAUUUGGCAAUCAAGCUAAAACAUCUACUCUCUAGCGAAGGGGGGCCUUGGAGUAACUGGUAAAGUUGUUGCCAUGUGACUAGGAGCUCACGGCUUCAAGCCCUUUCCCUUGACCCUGCACAUAGCGGGAGCUUUAAUGCACUGGGUUGUCCUUUUACUCUCUACUAAAAGAUUGUCUAAAUUGCUCGUCACUACCUAAUUCCACCGCAAAAUCAUGAAACUUCGGAAGACAUGUUAUAGACUGACAGGGGGGUCAUUUUUCGCUAUUUCUCUUGUUCUAAACUAGUCAUUAGUUGUGUACAUACUCCAUUGCUUGCUCCGUUCUGUUCUUGUUAUGUUUGAGUAGAUAAAGUCGUG